GAUGAACGCUGGCGGCGUGCCUAAUACAUGCAAGUCGAGCGAACGGACGAGAAGCUUGCUUUUCUGAUGUUAGCGGCGGACGGGUGAGUAACACGUGGAUAACCUACCUAUAAGACUGGGAUAAUUUCGGGAAACCGGAGCUAAUACCGGAUAAUAUUUUGAACCGCAUGGUUCAAAAGUGAAAGACGGUCUUGCUGUCACUUAUAGAUGGAUCCGCGCUGCAUUAGCUAGUUGGUAAGGUAACGGCUUACCAAGGCAACGAUGCAUAGCCGACCUGAGAGAGUGAUCGGCCACACUGGAACUGAGACACGGUCCAGACUCCUACGGGAGGCAGCAGUAGGGAAUCUUCCGCAAUGGGCGAAAGCCUGACGGAGCAACGCCGCGUGAGUGAUGAAGGUCUUCGGAUCGUAAAACUCUGUUAUUAGGGAAGAACAUAUGUGUAAGUAACUGUGCACAUCUUGACGGUACCUAAUCAGAAAGCCACGGCUAACUACGUG
rnacentral:rRNA from 1 species